UGCCUUUUUCUUUUCAUCAACCUUGGUGACUAUCAGUGUCAAAGAAAGCUUAAUUCUUCGUUCUGUUUUUAUUUGUCUCUUUAAAGGUUUGUAAAUUUUUUUUCUAUCGACCUUAUUCAACCAUGUAAAUGGAAAAUUUAUGUUAAAAUUCUUCCAUGCAUAGUAGGUACAAAGUGGUUGAGAUAGUUCACAAAAAUGUUAUGGAUGGCUUCUUGUGAUUUAAUAUUGGAGUCCAUAAUAUCUCUACACUCCAGAUCGCGUAGAACUAACUAGAUUGCUCAUUAUUUUCCCGAGCUUGUUGUUUUUGAAACGCUGGACGAUGCUGACAUUUGUGUUGCGUUCGCAGGUUAUGAAAUGGAUGAACAGGCUCCUGAUUCUAAUUACUUGCGGCUGCAGUUUUAUCAGUUCCCGGAUCCCAGGUCAAGACCUGGCCGUAACAAGGGGUGAUAGGCAUUAGGUGAUGAGAAACAUCCGUGUUGAUGUAAUCAAGAUUGCAUUUGCUCUUAUACAUUAUAUAUAUUGCUCAGGCUUGGGCACACACUAAUUGUAAGCACUUCUGAUGCACAUUGUUGUUCUAGGUAGUGAAAUCAGAAACAGUUUUAUAGUUGUGUUGAACGAUCUGAUUUUGCACGUCCAUGGUCUACAAUUUACUCAAGGAAUGUUUUAAUUCUGAAUUGAGAUUGUACUGUGCAUAGACUACCGCAAAAUUAGUACAGAGAUAGUUUCCCUAUAGAUUGUUUUCAUAUACUAGAGGACUUCCAUGGCCAGGGUAUCUUGCCACCAUAUUGUCCCCGUACAUUUUCCCUCCAUAUUAGUUAUAUAUUUAUCUGGACAUUCUAACCUAAUGAAGUCCUACAAUCAUCAUAACUCAUUUUACUUAGCUCAUGCUCCUUACAAUAUUUGAUGAACUCACAUAAGAAACUCAUAGAAAUUUGUUCCCAGUCAUUACCUUUGGACUGCAGUUGAAGCUUAUGAUACAUCCUCCCAAUGCUAAGCACUAGCUAGUGGGUUGUCGACUAAUCUAUGCCACCGUACACAUCGCAGGGGCUUUGAACUCUGUCUCAAUUAUUGUAAAGACGUUAGCCUCUUCAAUGAAAGAACCCAUAGUCCUAUGCUGCUAGAGCUCCCCCCACCCUUCUUGGAAUUAAUAUAGUGUUAGGACAUAUCGCUCUAUUUCUCACAUCACGUGACUAAUGAUUUCUUUGAAGUUACUUCUUUAGGAAACACUUAUACUACAAGUGCUUUUAUUAUAUAGAAUCUUUAUAAGCAAUCCAAGUGUUCAUUGAAAACGUAUUUGAAAGUGCUUCUUGAAAAAGCAUUUGGCAAGUGCUUCUUGAAAAAGCAUUUGGCAAGUGCUUCUAUAAAAGAGCUUAUUGGGUCAAAAGAAUUUCUAAGUUUUUUUUUCUGCCAAGCACAACAGAAUACACAUUUUAGCUUUUUCCAGAACCAAUCCCAGACAAGUUCUAAGCAAAGAAAGGGCGAUACAGCCUGAAGACAACGGAGAAUUUCCCUGACGUUAAAGGUUUUGUUUGUUCGGUCACUAAACCCAAAAAAAUAGAAAACUUGAAGUGGGCAAUGAAUUGGUUUUCGAUUUCCAUUAAAUUGGCACAACAUUCGGCAUUGUUAUGCAAAAAUAUACUUUUUUCUUAUCAUUAGUUUUACACACACUCUAGUCUGUGGUAUAAAAUGAGCUAGGGUUUGGUUGGAGAACAAGUCUACGUGGUAUCAUCACUUACAUUACAUGCCAUGUGGGCUGGAGGGUUUCAUUUGGUGCCAUUACUCCUUUUUCUGUUCUAUAAUCAUUUUGGAACUGGAAGAGAAAGUGGAGGGGAAAAGGUAGUUUAGGGCAAAAAUUUUCCAAUCAAUUUUUUGGCAGUGUGACUGUUUUCGAAAUAUAGAGUAGUUGUGGCAAAAAAGAAAAAGGAAAGGGGUAAUUGUACAUACACAUUGUUCCAAAGGGUCAGUUGUCCCACAACUUGUCAAGGGACCAGAGCAUUAAGUUGUAGCUGCAAGUGCAAGGAGAAAGUUGUGGAUUAGAUAGACCAAUGGAUUUGGUUUGGUUUAAUUCCAAGUCAUCGUCGUUUCUUCUUCUAUGUGGCCCAGCCGCCCAGGACUUUAGUCCUUAUUUGGCAGGUACUUAUUACAAGGUUAGAUAAAGGGAGAUGAUACAUGGAGAACGGUUUGCCAAGUUUGUUAGAGUGGAUCCGGAUCCAUGAGUGUUGGAUCUCUAGUAAUUGAAUCUUUAGUUAAAGAUUCAAUGUCUCAACGAUCUAUGCUAUACAUUUGUCUUUACGAAUUUUCAUUCAUUGUGUAUUACAUAAUAUUCUUGACCCUCUUAUAUGUGACUUCGGCCGACUUCUAUCACCCGAUAUCGUUGUGUAAUAACUUGAUGAGAUAGCCAAUGCUUAGGUCAUCUUCAAUGGAGAUGGCUAAAGGUCAAAAAGCUAAAAAAUAGUAUGAUUUGUUCAAAAACUCAUCUCCAACCAAUGUCAGAGCUAUAAUUAUAUGGAGCCCACCAUGCCAUUAUUUGGCUAGUGCCCCUUUCUUAGCCCCUUUUUGGGGCCUAGCUCCUCGAUUAUGCCAUCUGCAAUGAAGAGGGCUAAAUGUCUAAAAGCCAAAAAAUGACAUGAUUUACCCAAAAACUCAUCUCCAACCAAUAGCUAGGUUAUAAUUCUAUGGAUUCAACAGUUAGAUUUGGAAACAUCCAAUGUUAGUUUAAUUAAAUUAAAGUAUAAACUUAAAACUAAUAAAUUAUUAGGGAGCCUAUGUUUUAGCCCUUUCGGUUGGAGAUGGUAUAUGAGUAUGGCCGACACUAUUCAUUUAAAAAUAAUUUUUUUGUUGGGUUAUAAUUUUGGAUGAGGCUAUGUCUAGCCCUUUUGGUUGGAGAUGACCUUACAAUGAUUAAUUCAAAUUCAAUGGUUAAAUUUGAAAAUAUCCAACAAAACAUCCAACAGUAGUUUAAUUAAAUUAAUCAAUAAUUUUAAGUAUAAACUCAGAACUAAUAAAUUAUUGAGGGAGUUAUGUUUAGCCUUUUCGGUUGGAAAUGAUAUAUGAGUAUGGCCUAAUACUGUUUAUUAAAAAAAAAAUCUUUAGUUAUCUCUGCUAAUCAAUAAAACACUCAUUGUCAACCAAAAUCCUAUGAAAUUACCAGUUUAACCUUCUAAUUAAAACAAAACAUGAAUAAGAAAUAUGGGGCGGAAAUUUAAUUUUACACAAACAAAAUUUGUUGUUUUUUUUUUUCAAAACUUCAUCUAUAUAUAAUUCUAACAUAUCUCUAAUUAUAAAAUAAAUAAAAAAUAAAAAUAAAAACUUCCUACUCCCACAUUCUCUAUCACUCCCUUCCUCUCUUCUUUUAUUUUAAAACAAAAAAAAAAAUUUCACAUACUUUAUAUAUGCCCAUAUGCUAGUAAUUAUAAACGAAACUAUAUUUAACUAUUUCGUUGAAAAUGACCGUACGAGUAUGUAAAUUUUGAAAUGUGAGUUGUCGUUCACUACGCAAGCAAAGAUCGAAAGCCUUCAUGUACCGAGGGGUCCCACUCCUUGAAUCAGAAUAAAAGUGCUUUGAAAAAGUCCCUUUAAUUAUGUCCAAGUUUGGAUAAAAUUUGUCCAUGCAUGGCAUGCACUCACUGACUGAUCUCGUCGUCCUGAAGGGUAAGAGAGGUAAAUUCCAGAAUAACCCACGAGGCACUGUAUGAAGCCUGUCAAUUACAUCAACUCAUCAAGCUUUCAAUCUUUUCAUGGCAUGCCUAACUUCUGUGAAAUAUGCUCAACAUUUAACAUUUUGUAAACCAAAAAGAGAGUAAGAGAGAGAUGAUUGAAGUAAUAAAGUAAAAGCGAAAUGCAUGCAUUGAUAAAAGGAAAUUUUAACAAAAAAAAUUUCGGUACUGUUUACUUUAACAAAAAAUUAUAUUUUUACAUUAAAAAGUCAAUUCUAAUACUAUUCAUUUUACCCUUUAUUUGUUCUUUAUUGUUAAAAAUCAAAUUUUUCAAUCCAUUUUUAUUAGUUUUCCUUUGAUAAAAGGAGAAAGAUGCAUGGAGAACUGGUUUUUUAUUUUAUUAUUAUUUUUUUUACAAACAAUAAUAUUAGAGUGGAUUAAGUUAUUAGCUGUUAGCGAGAAGAGGAUCAAUAAUAAUCAAACUAGCACCCGGAUGUAUAAGCAUAAUUGUUUUCUAAAAUUGCAAUAAAACGUCACUUUCCAUAUAUAUAUAUAUAAAAAAAAAAAACUUAUUGUUCCUUGUAUGAUGGAUUGCAAUCUCAAUAUCGUUCUUAAUGGAACGGCCACAAUUAGUUGUUCAGGACAUAAACAAUAUGUAUUGUCUUUAUAUUUAGGAAAUUGGCUCUGUUAGCCUUAUUACAAACCCAACAAUUAAAAAUACUCCCAAAUUAUAAUCUCUAUUAGCCCUCUUUUCCUUAAAUACCACUAACUUGAAAGAUGAACUGUUAUUCUAUGUCUCGACGUUGGAUCUCGAUGGCAUCCAAAAGGGCCUCUCAACUCCCUUCCGACUGUAUCUCGACUGAAUCACGACGGCAUCUCAACGGCACAGAACUGAAUUACCCUUAUAUUUAUGAGUUGAUCAGACACUCCAAUUAAAUAAAAAUAACUAUAAUUAUGUCAAAAUUAUUUAGUCAGUCUCACGUAUAUAUAAUUAAUUCAUCAAACACAUAAACAAAAAAGUUCUUGUAUGUAUGCUAUACUUUGAUUUGUCUCAACAAGAAAUGACUCAGUCAUCUUUUUAUCUAUGUCCAUUGAGUUUAUGGAGGGCAACAUAUUGAGAUCUCAAAAAUCUUAUUCUCAUACAACACACUUUUUUUUUUGAACAAACGAUAUUAUCUACACUAAGGGAAAAUGGGUGGCCUAAACCUCACAAUGGGCUAGCAAUAAUGUGGUUCAAAUUCACAUUUGGCGAGAAUCAAACCUAAGACCUCUCACUGACAAGUGAAGAAGAAUAUCACUAGACCGUAGUCCUAAAAAAAAUAUAGAUCUUAUAGUCUUGCAGUGUUUUAGAUUAGCUAAAACGUUGGUAUCCAUAUUAACUUACCAAAAAAAAUAUGUUGAAUUUGCUACACCUGGAAUUUGUAGCAGAUUUGUCAUUUUAUAAAGGGGUUUUUAACUCAUUUAAAAAAAAAGAAGGGGUUUUUAACUUUAAUUCUUAAAAAAAAUUGAAAUUUAAUAAAAAUCGGAUGUUAGAUUACAUAUUAAUUAUUGUCCUUUAAUGUGUUAUUAACUCAAAUUAAUUAAUGUGUAUUUUAUUCAAUAUCUCACAUUAAAUAUUUGAAUUUAUGAAAAUGAAAAUUAUAAUAAAAUAUAAUUAAUAUAUCAAAAUUAGAAAGAAAAAGAGAAAUAAUUAAAACAUCAAAAUAUAAUUAAUAAAUGAAGUAAUUAACAUAUCAAGAGACUAAAAUUAGAUUUUAAUUUUACUCAUGUUUUUAAUUUAAAGUUAUUUUUAUCAAAAAUUAAAAUGAAGUUUCCUAUUUUGUAAAUUACAACGAUGAAAAAUGACGCGUUGCACGUAAGAAACAACAUCUAUAUUUUCUCUUUUGUUUAAUAUGCCAUCAAACAUAUCCAUCACAUUUUAAAUUUUGUGGAAGUCCCUCUCUCACAUUGAUAAAGUCUGGUUUGUGUUGGACAGCUGUCCAACAGACAACCCAAAAAUCUUCCAAAAACCAACAAACAUUUCUGACCAGUCAUGCAUACGUAUGCAUGGACCCAAUGGCAUAUAAUCAAAAAUUUUAAAUAAUGGGAUCGUAAUGUCAACUUAAAAAAAAGUUUCAUUAAGCUAUUUCAUCGAACAUUUAGUAAGCAAUUGUCAAUUCUUGUCAACAAUGCCAAAAGUUUAUGUUAAAAUAUAUCAACUACGAUAAUUUGUAGAGGCUUGUCGAGAGUGAUGUAGGAUACUACGAAGUAAUAUUGAGAACUCUUAAAGCUUUUCAACUAAAGUAUUUUAUAUAAAAAGAGAGAAAAGAAAAACAAAUAUGAUAGAAGAAAAUAGAAGAAGUAAGAAGAUGAGGUUGUAAGUUAGUUUGCUUUAGCUAUUUAUAAUGGUCAAAUAAAAUAUACAAACAAAUAUACAUGAGAUUUUUAAAGUUGUUGAGAUCAAGGAUAAUCAAUGAUCCCAUUCUAGUUUUGCCAUUGCAUGGGCCGGAUAGGGAUAUGGCUAAAAUAUAAUUCUAUUAAUUGCGUUUUGGGACUUUGUCUAACAACUUGGCUCUCUCUUGACUUGGAUGCCAUGGAUGGCUCAUGCAGUUUACUAAAACUAGUAAUGUACAAUUUUCAGAGACUAUUAAUUAUCAUCUAUCAGGAAAAUUUGAUUUCCAUGCUUGCCCUUUCACGUCGGUGACUUGGAGAUAAUAUUGUUUCUUGUCCGGAGAUGAAAUAAAAUAAAAAGACUUGCACGAUCAUACUGCAUUAUAUAUAUUACACUAUAUAGUCUAUGUUGGGAGUUAUAUAUUAGUUAAAGUAUAAAUAGUAGUCUGUUAUCCUAUAUUGAUGAAGUGCAUAUGUAAUACAAAUUGUAAUUCCUAUAUAUACUCCAUUUUGGAGAUUAAUGAAUAUAUGAGAAAUUCUCAAAUAUUAUCAUAUAUAUUUUUGGUAUUUACCAUGUUUAGUUUAAUAUAGCAUCAAAGCAGUUCGCUCUUGGUGACCUGUGUGCUUUAAUUUUGUGCCCCACAUUUGUCAUGAUUUCCUUCGUCUUGAAAAAAAAAAAGGAAAGUAAAUAGUGUUGCACUACAGUACAAACAGUGCGUAAACAGUGGUAUGCUACAGUGUUCAUGAACAAUAUUUUGCUACAGUGCCAUUAACAGUGAUCUACUACAUCACUUGAACAGUGAUGUGCUACAGUAUUAUGGUAAAUUGUUUUCAUUCCGCUGCCUAUCUUUUGUGCCUUUAUUGUUUGUGAUUUAAUUCAAUGGCUCAGUAUAAUCAUAAUGUUGUUAUGCAUCUUGGUGGAACAAAUAAAUGGAUAAUUGAUACUGGGACCACUAAUCAUGUGACUAGUGACCCUAGAAUGUUUGAUGAGUUAUGUGACUAUAUUCUUGAUCCGUAUAUUACUAGUGCAAAUGGAGCACAUUCCCCCGUGAAUGUUGAAGGCAUUAUCUCUCUUACUUCGACCUUAUCACUGGUCCAUACUUUACUUGUUCCUGAUGUUAAGUGCAAUCUUUUGUCGGUAGAAAAACUACUUGAUACUUUAUAUUGUUUUGCUCACUUCUACCCUACGUAUUGUUAUUUUCAAGACAUUCAAACUCAGAAAGUAAUUGGUCAUGGUAAAAGAAUAGAGGGUUGUACAUCUUGACUAUGGAGGAUACUGUUGUUUCCGGUUCAAAUAAUCAUCAAGUUUUAAGUGCUAAAGUGGAUGACAUACAUCAAAUUUGGUUGUGGCAUUGGCGAUUAGGACGUCUAUCAUUCAGUUAUAUGAAGCAUCUAUUUCCUGCUUUGUUUCGCAUUUGUAGUGAUUCAUAAUUCAAGUGUGAAGCAUGUGUCAUGGCUAAGAGUCAUCGUGCUUCCUUUCCCAUAAGUGAUUCUAAAGCUACUUUGCCAUUUGAUUUAAUACAUUCUGAUGUGUGAGGUCCGGCAAAUGUUACUUCUAAUGAAUUUCGUUGGUUUGUUACUUUUAUUGAUGAUUGUACUCGAUUAACUUAGGUGUUAUUGAUGAAGAAUAAGAGUGAUGUUCAUUUGCUUCUUCAAGAAUUUUGUGCAAUGGUGUAUACUCAGUUUCAGACCAAAGUUAAGGUUUUCAGGUUUGAUAAUAGAGGAGAAUAUGUGAAUCACACUUUGACAUGCUUUUUUCGUGAUCAGGGUAUUAUUCACCAGACGACUACUUUGUUUACACCCCAACAAAAUGGUGUGUCAGAACAGAAGAAUCGUCAAAUAAUGGAGGUUGCUCACUCAUUGAUGUUGGAUAAAUGUGUUCCUAAUCAUUUAUGGGGUCAUGUUGUUUUGGCUGUUGUAUAUUUGAUAAAUCGUGUUCUAAGUAGGGUUCUUGAUUUUCAGACACCACUUGAUGUGUUACAAAAGCAUGUUUAUCUUGUUUCUGUAUCAAAACUUCCUCCGAAGGUGUUUGGGUGUAUUGCGUAUGUGUAUGUCUACUCUUAUCAGCGGAGUAAACUUGAUGCAUGUGUUCUUCGAUGUGUAUUUAGUAGGUAUGCUAACAAUCAGAAAGGCUAUAAGUGUUAUCAUCCUCCGACUCAUAAAACUUAUAUUACCAUGGAUGUCACUUUCCACGAGGAAGUUUCGUAUUUUGUGAAGCCAUCUUCCGACUCUCCACUUCAGGGGAAAAAAGGGAGUGAAGUGCAUAUUUGAAGAGAUGGUAUGGAUGAUGUGUUACAGGCAGAGUUGGGGAUAGAACCUAUUAUGUUGCGUGAUACUGAUCAGUCGGUUAUAGAUAGUGAUCUGUCACCUAUUAUUCCUAAAACUAUUUUUACUGACGACAGAUUAGAUGUGCCCAACGAGUUGCUUGUCAGUAUGUCUGACGAAUUACUUUCUGAUGACCGAUUGCUUGCUUCUGGUAUGUCUAACGAGCUGCCUGAUGAUGGUUAGUUCAGUGAUGGUUCAUCCAGUGAUGAUUCUUUUAACAAUUUGGUACAAGAUAAUGACAUACAUGAGUUAAAUUCUGACGAUUCUUCUAUUUAUUAGUUGCCUCCACGAGCUAAUCGUGGAAAACCUAAGGUACAAUAUGAGCCUGAUAUGCAUGCCAAAUCCAAAUAUCCUAUCAACAAUUAUGUGUUUACUCAUCGUUUGUCCAAACCAUUUUCAUCUUACAUAUGUCAGCUAUCUAGUGUAUCAAUUCCAACAAAAUUGCACGAUGCCUUGUCUGACCCUAAGUGGGUUAAUGCCAUGAGAGUUGAGAUGGAAGCCUUGGAAAAGAAUUCUACUUGGGAUUUGGUUCAUUUACCAAAUGGGAAGAAAGCUGUUGGAUGUAGAUAGGUGUUCACUAUUAAGCACAAAGCAGAUGGUUCUAUUGACCGGUAUAAAGCCAUAUUAGUUGCUAAGGAUUAUACUCAAACCUAUAGGGUGGACUAUCAGGAGAUUUUUGUUCUUGUUGCCAAACUUAAUACUGUGUGUGUUCUUCUGUCCUUAGUAGCAAACCAGGAUUGGCCUCUGUUGCAGUUUGAUGUUAAGAAUGAUUUCCUUCAUGGUGAUCUCAAGGAGGAAAUUUAUAUGGAUCUCCCACUUAGUAUUAGAACAUCUCCUGAAAAAUGUGUUGUAUGCAAGUUGCAAAAAGCUUUGUAUAGUUUGAAACAAUCUCUUAGAGUGUGGUUUUGGAGGUUUACAAGUUCAAUGAAGAAGUUUGGGUAUGUCCAGAGUCAUUCAAAUCAUACUUUGUUUCUAAAUUGUUUCUAAAGCCACAAAAUGGUAAGCUAACUGCAUUGAUUAUUUAUGUUGAUGACAUGUUAGUGACUAGUGAUGAUCAAAAGGAGAUACAACGCCUUAAAAAAGUACCUAGCUAGUGAAUUUGAGAUGAAAGAAUUGGGUGAAUUGAAGUAUUUUCUUGGAAUCGAGGUUGCACAAUCCAAGCAUGGUAUUUUUCUGUCUCAACAGAAGUAUGUUCUUGAUUUGUUAGUUGAAACAAAUCUGUUAGAUUGCAAACUUAUUGAUACUCUGAUUGAGCAAAAUCAUCAUCUGGGCUUAUUUCCGAAUCAAGUUCCUACUCAUAAGGAACGGUAUCAGAGGCUUGUGGGGAAAUUAAUUUAUUUGUCUCACACUUGCCCUGACAUUGCUUAUGCAGUUAGUGUAGUAAGUCAGUUUAUGCACUCACCUAGUGAAGCUCAUAUGGAUGAAAUAGUCCGUAUUUUGAGGUGCUUGAAGAUGGCUCCUGGCAGAGGCUUGGUUUUCUCCAAGAAUGGUCAUUUGAAUGUCGAAGGGUAUACAGAUGCAGAUUGGACAAGUUCUAUCACUGAUUGGCGGGUGGUAAUCUAGUUACUUGGAGAAGUAGAAACAAAAAAUGGUGGCUAGGUCAAGUGCUGAAGCUGAGUUUCGUGGUAUGUCUCAUGGUGUAUGUGAGUUGUUGUGGUUAAAAAAAUUGUUGAGAGAUCUUGGAUUUAAACCCAAUGGUGCUAUGAAACUCCAUUGUGAUAACAAGGCUGCUAUUGAGAUUGCUCAUAAUCCAGUGCAACAUAAUCAAACAAAACAUGUGGAGAUUGAUCAACAUUUCAUCAAGGAAAAUUUGGAUGCUGGAAUUAUUAUGUUUCCGUUUGUGAGAUCUGAAGAUCAACUCGCUGAUGUACUUACUAAGACUGUGUCUAAUAGUGUGUUUUCCAACUCGCUUGACAAGUUGGGCAUGCAUGACAUCUUUGCUCCAACUUGAGGGGGAAUUUUACGAGUUAUAUAUAGUUAAAGUGUAAAUAGUAGUCUGUUGUCCUACAUUGAUGAAGUACAUAUGUAAUACUAAUUGUAACUCCUAUAUAUACUCCACUUUGGAGAUUAAUAAAUAUAUAAGAAAUUCCCAAAUAUUGUCAUAUAAAUUUUUGGUAUUUAUCAUGUUUAGUUUAAUAGUCUAAACAUCAGGAAAUACACCAACCCUAAACCUAAUGGAUUUUAUGAAGCCGCUGGUUUGGGUACACAUUAAUCUAACCUAAUUGCUCUACCACAUUCUAAACACAAAAUUUGUUAUAAAUAGGAUGAUUAAAUUUAUUUUCUCAAGCGGUAGAGUAGUGAACCUCACAGCGACGACAAUCUUCCACCCCCAAAUUCGGGUUUUUUUGUACUAAAAUGGUCUUUUAUGUAUAAGAACUUUACGAUAAGUUUAUUAAAAUUGGCUCUGUAUCUACGAAAUCUCAACAUCCAUACGUUACAAAAUGGAUUAGAACUCCUAGGAAAUAAAAUAGAACAUAUGAUGAUCCCUUUAAAGGGCCUUAUAAUGGGGAAGACUUCUCACAGAAUAUAAGAAGACGAAGAGGAAAACUAAAAACUUAGAACUUCAAGGAGAUGGACUGGAGCAGGGAGAAUGGCAAAGAACCGGAACCCAGAAGACCCGCAACGAAAAAGAAAACACUGUACUUUUUUUAGACAUUUUUUCACAUUUCUUCUCGGCCUUACAGCCAAGUAGCAUUUUCCGACCCCAAAUAAAGAUAGAAGGAAAAAACCAAAUUAAGGUAAAUAAAUUUUCUAUAGCAACUUGGCAAACAAAAACAUACUAGAAGAAAACAAGGAAAAUACAAAGAAAUUAAGGAAGUAUGGGAAACAAAAUAAAUUUAAUACGGGACCAACGACAACGGUGCAAAUGUAUAUUGUUCAGGAAAUAAACUUUUAGCGAAAAUGUGCUGCAAAAUUGACCAAUUUUGCUUCAUAUUCACACUCAAUUUUUUUAAGAAUUAAUAUCUGUAGAGUUUAGACCAAAAAUAAAAUAAAAAACAAAACCAAAAUGCUACUCCACUUUCUUGGUACUUAACUCAGCUCUCCACCUCCUUCCAAUCUUACAAGCUUCUAGAUUUAGAUUUGUCUCAAAUCACAUGCCAACUAACCUGCCCAGCUCAAUUUUAUUUUUUCUUUGGAAAUUCCAGUGCGUCUCUACUUUUGUUUUUCUAAAUCUUACUUACUCCCAUUAUAAUUGGAAUUUUAUAUAUUUAUAUGGAUGCUUUGUCAAGAUAUGAGAGAAAUAGUAGUGAUUCAAAAAGAUGAUUAGGAGCCAAAAAUAUUUAUUAUUUUAGAUUGGUGUUUAUGUUUUUGAACAGUUAAAAACUUUUUUGGUCAUUGUGUUUAUGUUUAAAAUUUAUUUUGGUCACUGUAUUUUAUUUUCUGCUAAUUUAGUUACUGUGUUAUCACAAGUUAGCAAUCUUAGUCCUUCUCAAUCAAACGUUAAAAAAAACGCACAUGACAUGCAAGUGCAGGGGUAACUAUGUAAGUGAAAAUAUAUCUUUGCCCCUGCACGAAACUGUCACGUGCAUUUUUUUGGCGGUUGACUUAUGGUAACGCAGUGACCAAUUUGGCAGAAAAUAAAACACAAUGACCAAAAUAAAUUUUAGAAAUACACACAGCGACCAAAAACGUUUUAAUUUAACCCAUUUUUAACAGUCCAGCCAGCUACCAUGAAAGCUACAACAUGAAAGCUGACUGUCAAAAUUUUGUUUAAAAAUUCAUACACAAUAAUCGUCAUAAGAACGUGCAAUAGGUACUUUGAAUUCUUAAAUAUACUGCAUGGUUACCCUUUCCUUUUGUUUUAUACAGAGAAAUCUUGACAGGCAGUCAAAAGCAAAAUUAUGUUCUUCUAGUGAUAUCUGUGUGCUAAAAAGGAAGUACGUAGCUACGUUCAGUCUUCACCUAACACUCCUAUUUGCACCUAAAAGAUGUGGAUAACAAAGAUUUUGACCAAAAUCACAUUGACAAGUACUUGCCAAAGGAUCACGGAACCUAUGAUUGUAAAAGAUAUACGUGUUGGGCCUGACCGACGUUAAUUAGUUGUUCAUAUUGAUUUGAGAAAUUUGAUUGAAUGAGGAUUAACAAAUCACAAUUGCUAAAAUAUUAAAAUGUAUUAACUGCGACAUAUUGGUUAAAUAAUUAUUGCACAUCGAAAAAAUAUUGACGAGUAAUUAUGAAUUUUUAUUUUCAUUAUUUCAAACAUUUUUAUAUUAGAAAAGCUAAAGAAAAUGAUUUAAAAACUUUGAAUUUUAAUGAUACGUACAAAAUGAAAGGUAAAAUAAAUAGUACCAGAAUUAACUUUUUGUUUAAAUUUUAUUUUCUAUUUGGCAUCAACUUUUGGUUUAAAUAUACUAUAUAACCCUCACAAAAGAAAAAGCAUGGUGUACUAGUAGCUAAAAGACAUAAAAAAGGUUAAUCUUAAUUUAUUAUUCUAAAGUUUCUUAGUUUUCAAUAUUUGGUAUAUAAAGUUUUUUUUAUUCUAGAGUUGUACAUAAAGUUAUAAUUUUGGGAUACUUUCAUACAUCCAUUAAGGUUGCUGUUAAAUUUAUCAUUAACUGAUGAUAUGACAUUUAUGUUGACAAUGACACGUAGAUAUUAAAAAUUAAAAAUUAAAUUAAUAAAAUAAUAAAAAUUAAAAAAAAAAAAAAAUUGGGCGUCUUCACCCUCACCCCUUCUGACCCCCCUCCCUUCUCUCCUCUGCACCCACGCUUCCCCCUCCCUCUUCGACUCCACCCAACGCUGCACUCCGAGGAUUGUUGCCAUCCUUUCAAGCCCAAUUUCGCCCCCAAAUAGGCCCGGGCAGUACUUGGCCAUAAACUUCAAGUCGUAGACCCUCUCGAACAAACGACCUGCCAUCUUUGCGAACUCAGUGGGGGAGCUGAGGAUGGUCUUCCUCGUCACCAGCUUCAUUACAUAGGCCGAGUCGUAGAGGCCGUGGAAGCUCACCCAUACGAGCUGCCCCCUGUGCACCCUUAAAAUCUCAACGAAACCCUCCACAAAAAUAUCCGAAUCAAUGCCGAACUUCCCAAAUUUCUCGAGAUCCAAGCCAUUCGCUUUGAGGAGGGCAAUGGAUUCUGGAACAUGGGGGUCGGUUUCCUCGUCAAAACCCCGAAAGUUGAACUCCCAGGUGCCGCCGACGUUGCCGCGGUCGUCGAACAGGGUGAUACCCACUUGGAUGAGAUUGAGAGAAUCGACAUUAAGGGCGAUAUCUUGGUAACGGAGGCCCUUGGAAGUGCCUCUGGGGGUGUUGCGGAGGAACCCCGGAAAUUCGGUGUCGAACGAGACGAUCGGAAAACGGCAGAGACACCGAUCGACGGAGGGAAGGGGAAAGGUGGGUGCAAAGGAGAGAACGGGAGUGGGGUCGGAAGGGGUGAGGAAGAAGAUGCCCAAAUUUUUUUAUUUAUUUAAUUUUUUUAGUUUUUAUUAUUUUAUUUUUUAAUAUGCACGUGUCAUCAUGUCAUUGUCCACGUGGAUAACACAUCAUUAGUUAACAGUAAAUUUAAAGGCAACCUUAAUGAAUGUAUAAAAUUGUUCCAAAAUUAUAACUUUAUGUACCACUCUGAGAUGAAAAAAACUUUAUUUACCAAAUAUUGAAAACAAAAAAACUUUAAGAUAAUAAACUAAUAUUAAUCCUAAAAAACUACUAAAGGAAAGGGUGAAAGAAAAAAUUAUUAGUUUGUGCUGUUCUCAUGGUAAUAGUGGUUUUUGUAUUGUACGAUCAUGUGUUACAUUUUAUGCAUUAUUAUGUGGAUGAAUGAAUAAGUUAAUUACAUCGCAUGUCAUAGGGUGAAUAUUACAUUAAAAAAUUCUUCAUUCUUGUUAUUCGUCAAAUUAAUGGUUGUGCAUUUGUAUGAGGACCUAGAUCUGUUGAGGAUGCAGAUCUUCACUCGUUGAAGGCCAUCCCUAUCUAUCUACUACUACUCUUUGGAAAAUAAUUGACUACAGAUGAUUGUACAAAAAAAUAAUUAAUAUUAUCUGAACAGCUCACCAUGCAUGUUCAGUAAAGUAAAGCGGAUUUGUUUAUUCAUUGUCUAGUUCAAACUUGGGGAGCAUUUUCUCAUUCUUGCGGUGAUCAGAAUAAUGUGAUUUAAGUCCAGUUAAACAUGCUUAAUUAUGCAUUUAAGCAUCUUUUAUUUAUUUGCUUUCAUUAUUUUUUCCUUCUUAAUGUGUUGUUAUUGUUUGGAACAACAAGUAAGACAAAUCUAGCCAGUUAGCAUUCACCGCAUCACCGCAUAAUGAAAGAUUAUUCAUAUUUGGAAAUGAAUAAUUAAUUAAAAAACUGUAUUAUUAAGGCAAAUGGGCACUUAAUAUUUGUAUCUUAAACCUUCCGAGUCGGAUAUUCGAGUAAAUUAGUUAAAAAGCUAUGCAAAAUGUGAAUGUGACAGACUACGUAGUAAAGUUUGGGUUAAGAGAGAGAGAGAGAGAGAGAGAGAGUAUUUCGCAGCCGGCUGGUCCCUAUGUACGGGAAGAAUCAUAGAAAGUUAGGUAACUACACACAUUUUUCAAAGAUGUCGAUCAUGAAAAAUAUUUGAUAACAAAUUCAGGGAGGACAUACUGCUUAAAUUAUUAACCUAGAAAUAAAGUUCGAUCUCUUGCUUUAACUUUUCUGCUACGUAGCUCUUAUUGCAUUAAACAAAGCCUUAUUAAAGUAAAGAUGGUCACACCCUUAGCCCUUUAGGUGAUACGUUCAGGGAAAUGGUUAAUGUUUUUACAAGCUCUUGUUUAUUUUUAUUUUUUAAUAUUUUCAGAUAUUUUUACAAUCUUUUACUGCGCAGUAAUAGAGUGUAAAAAUCAUAUCUAUGUAUUUAUUUAUUAUUAACUAUGUUUACAAUGAACCUUCUAUUCCAUGAAACAAGAUAUAAAAAUAAAAAUAAAAAGGAGAAGGGCAUAAAUUAACAAAAUUCGGUCAAAGGCCGCAUUGGUCCAAACAUUAAUUGAUAAUCUAUGACAAAUAGUCUGGCCCCAUUAGCAUUAUUUUAACAGUAAUAUUGUUUUUUUACUAAGAUAAUUAAUAAUUGCCAAGUGAAAAUUUGGCAUGAGUACCAUUGUGAAGGGUAAAAACCAAAGCUAUAUAAAGGGUGAGGAGGCUUAGCUUCAGAGGCAGACAACCAAAAACCCAUUCUUAACGAAGGAUGGGAAAAAUGGUGCCUUCACAAGUGACCUCUCUUGUGGUCACUCUCCUAGUGGCAAUAGUCUCUCUCACAUUGCCUUCAGAAACUUCAGCUAACUACCCUUACACCUCUCCACCACCACCGGCCUCUCCUCCCUACCAUUACAAGUCACCACCGCCUCCUUCUCCUUCUCCUCCAGUGCACUACUCACCACCUAAGCAUCCCUACCACCCUAAGUCACCACCACCUCCUGUGUACGCACCACCUAAGCAUCCCUACCACCCUAAGUCACCACCACCUCCUGUGUACCCACCACCUAAGCAUCCCUACCACCCCAAGUCACCACCACCAUCACCAAAGCCUUACCACUACAAAUCCCCACCACCACCUCCUGCUCCAGUGCACUCACCACCCCCACCUAAGGAGCCAUACCACUACAAGUCCCCACCACCACCACCCAAGAAGCCCUACCACUACAAAUCUCCCCCACCACCUCCUCCUCCAGUUCACUCACCACCACCACCCAAGGAGCCUUACCACUACAAAUCUCCACCACCACCACCCAAGAAACCUUACUAUUACAAGUCUCCUCCACCACCACCAAAGAAGCCUUACCACUACAUGUCUCCUCCCCCACCGGUGUACUCACCACCUCCACCAGUGCACUCACACCCACCACCAAAAAAGCCUUACCAUUACAAAUCUCCUCCCCCGCCAGAAUAUUCACCAGCUCCACCAGUGCACUCAACCCCACCACCAAAGAAGCCCUACCAUUACAAAUCCCCACCACCACCACCACCACACAAGAAGCCUUAUUACCCUGUUCACUCACCACCUCCACCUAAGAAGCCUUACCACUACAAAUCCCCACCACCACCUUCUCCUACUCCUCCUAAAUACUCACCACCUAAGCACCCCUACCACUACAAGUCUCCACCACCACCACCAAAGAAGCCUUACCAUUACAAGUCCCCACCACCUCCUUCUCCUACUCCCCCUAAAUACUCACCACCUAAGCACCCCUACCACUACAAGUCACCACCACCACCACCCCAAGAAGCCUUACCACUACAAGUCUCCACCACCACCACCUCCUCCAGUUCCCACACCAUCUCCACCCAAGAAACCUUACCACUACAAGUCUCCCCCACCACCCCCUCCAGUCUACAAGUCUCCUCCACCACCAGUUUACUCACCACCACCACCACCUAAGAAACCUUACAAGCCACCAACUCCUCCAGCAGUUCACCCACCACACGGUUACAUCUAUUCCUCACCCCCACCUCCUCACCACUACUAGAUAUUGAAAGUUUAAUUGCAUCAAGCUGGUAAGCUUCUCCAUUCUAUGCUAUUAUUCAUUAAUUAGUUAGUACUACUGUUGUCAAUUUGGAAAUCACCAUACAACCAAAUGCACACUCUGACGAAAUAACAUAUAAAUUCUAAUUGAAUAGUCUUUAUUUCCAUUUUUGGCUAAUAAUCCUUAUUAGCAUAUGGAUAAUGUAUUUCCAACAUAUCGUUAUUAACUUAUUACUCAAUUAAUAUUUCUUUUUCUUUAAAUUCAGUAGCCGUGUGUAACAAAUAGACCAAUGGCAGAGACCCAACAAAUAACAAUAAUAUGUCUUUGCAGGUAAGGGAAGAAGAAAGGUCAGAAUAAAGAGGGGCUGUUGAAGUCGAACAGCGCGCCUUAUUACCACACAAAGAAGAAGAGAGAGAAAAAAACGAGUCUCCACGCAG
rnacentral:lncRNA from 1 species